rnacentral:rRNA from 1 species
CCUACGGGAGGCAGCAGUGGGGAAUUUUGGACAAUGGGCGCAAGCCUGAUCCAGCCAUGCCGCGUGAGUGAAGAAGGCCUUCGGGUUGUAAAGCUCUUUCGGCCGGGAAGAAAUCGCACAGGUUAAAACCCUGUGUGGAUGACGGUACCGGAAUAAGAAGCCCCGGCU